AUAGAGGAGUGCUCGAAAGAGAGCCGUAACACAGGUGCUGCAUGGCUGUCGUCAGCUCGUGUCGUGAGAUGUUGGGUUAAGUCCCGCAACGAGCGCAACCCUUGUCAUUAGUUGCUACGACAGGGGCACUCUAAUGAGACUGCCGGUGACAAACCGGAGGAAGGUGGGGAUGACGUCAAGUCCUCAUGGCCCUUAUAGGUGGGGCUACACACGUCAUACAAUGGCUGGUACAAAGGGUUGCCAACCCGCGAGGGGGAGCUAAUCCCAUAAAGCCAGUCGUAGUCCGGAUCGCAGUCUGCAACUCGACUGCGUGAAGUCGGAAUCGCUAGUAAUCGUGGAUCAGAAUGUCACGGUGAAUACGUUCCCGGGUCUU
rnacentral:rRNA from 1 species